rnacentral:rRNA from 1 species
UGGGGAAUUUUGGACAAUGGGCGAAAGCCUGAUCCAGCAAUGCCGCGUGCAGGAUGAAGGCCCUCGGGUUGUAAACUGCUUUUGUACGGAACGAAAAGCCUGGGGCUAAUAUCCCCGGGUCAUGACGGUACCGUAAGAAUAAGCACCGGCUAACUACGUGCCAGCAGCCGCGGUAAUACGUAGGGUGCAAGCGUUAAUCGGAAUUACUGGGCGUAAAGCGUGCGCAGGCGGUUUUGUAAGACAGUGGUGAAAUCCCCGGGCUCAAGCUGGGAACUGCCAUUGUGACUGCAAGGCUAGAGUGCGGCAGAGGGGGAUGGAAUUCCGCGUGUAGCAGUGAAAUGCGUAGAUAUGCGGAGGAACACCGAUGGCGAAGGCAAUCCCCUGGGCCUGCACUGACGCUCAUGCACGAAAGCGUGGGGAGCAAACAGG